rnacentral:lncRNA from 1 species
AGAAAAAGAAACCUUAGAACACUGUAGUGGAUAUUGGUAGUUUGCCUCCUGGUCCUUAUCCAGUCCUCCUUCUGACAUUUGGGGGUCGCCCCUCCCUAUUCCCGGUCCAAGUGCUUUGGGUGGGACUCCACCCCUGGAUCCAGCCAAUCCGAACAUACCAUUCCGCUGCCUGUGGUGAUUGGCUCAGAGGUAGGCAUGUGACCUGAGUGCAUCCAAUCAGAGUGAGUCCAAGUGCUGCCAUAGGAGAUCUUGGAAAAGCCCAGGCCGGGCUCCGUGGCUCACAUCUGUAAUCCCAGCACGGUGGGAGGCUGAGGCGGGUGGAUCACGAGGUGAAUGGAUAUGACAGUAGCUAAAAGGAGAGGCUGGAAGAGAUUAUAGAAUUUUGUGGAGAAAAAUUCGUUCUUUUCCUGAGGGAAGGCCAAAGCCUGCAGUCAUGAUGGAGUUGGAGAAAGGUGUGAAGGGCCAGGCCAGGAGCCCAGGGAGAGGAGGCCUGAGAGAGGAGCCCUGUGGAAUGAAGCCUGUGAACAGCCCAUUUUCACUUCUGAAGCAGUUGGUCCCCCACAAAAAGAUUAUUUUCUCCAAAGCAGAUGAAAAUCCCCUUUCCCUCCGCCUGCUCCUGCAGCCUGUGGUCAUGGAGGCAAAGAAAUCACCCCUUCCUCUGCCACUUACCAGCUGUGGUCCUGUGCAAAUGUCUUAGCUUCUCUGAGCCUCUGUUUCCUUUCUGUAGAGUGAAAAUAAUUCAUUAUUUGUGAGAUUAUGUGAGGAUUAAGUAAUACUGUAUGUGGAAGGGCUGAACACAGUGCUU